CCUACGGGGGGCAGCAGUGAGGAAUAUUGGUCAAUGGGCGGGAGCCUGAACCAGCCAAGUCGCGUGAGGGAAGACGGUCCUAUGGAUUGUAAACCUCUUUAGGCGGGGAGCAAUGCCGGGCACGCGUGCCCGGAGGGAGAGUACCCGCAGAAUAAGCAUCGGCUAACUCCGUGCCAGCAGCCGCGGUAAUACGGAGGGUGCAAGCGUUAAUCGGAAUUACUGGGCGUAAAGCGCACGCAGGCGGUUUGUUAAGGCAGAUGUGAAAUCCCCGGGCUCAAACUGGGAAAUGCAUCUGAAACUGGCAA
rnacentral:rRNA from 1 species